ensembl:processed_transcript
AAGUUGCGGUUCCGGUGUUGAGGAUGCCAAGGAUGAUGGGAAGCCUGACCUUGUUUUUCGGCUUGUAGGGAACUCCACCCGCAAUCCAGUCUGGCCUGAGCAUUUUGCUCCGGCACCUGUGCGUGGAAAACAGCUGAGCCCAGGAGGUUCCAGACCCUGGAUACCUGAGACACAUCGACUUGCUUCUUAGGUUUGGAGUGCAUAAUGAGGAGAAAUAAAAAUAGAAAGAUCUCCAGAAAGAAGCCAUGGGAAGAUUCAAGGCUUCCCAGUCCAAGCUAAUACCUGUGGACACUUGACCAAGUGAGCUGAGAAAACUGGAUUCCUGGCAAAACAAGCGUAACUAGACUCAGGCAAGGGUGGAGCACAGAGGGCAACUAGAUGAAAUGAAAAGAAUGCCCAGGCAUCCCAGUGCCCCCAUUGAUGUUCCAGAACUUCGUCGACCAUGCAGAAUACCUUCCAGCCCCGUGAACACUAAUCACUCAGUCAGUAAUGGUGAACUUCUAACUGCGCUUUGGCUCAAUAUUCUCAUGAUUGAUGAUCGUUCAGAAUCAAGCUCAGAAGCUCCCAGCUCCCAGCAAGUACUCUACUACUGAACUACACCAUCUCUCCAGCCCAUGCUUACUCUUGAAUAGCCACAAAGUAUUCAAUGGUAUGGAAAAUAGACCUCCAUUUCAUUUAAACUUUUAUAGUAUUUUUUUGCCACUUAAAUUAUUUUAUGUAGUUGAGUAUGAUUUUUUUUUUCGAAGAAAUUCUAUGUAUCUCAAUUUAGAGUCUUCAACCUUUCUGUUAUACAUAAUUUCCUGUAGUUUUCAGUUGCUUUAAUAAAACAUUUAAUAUUGAAACAGUUGUGGAUUUACAUGUAGUUAUGUGAAUACAUUAUCCUUUACCCUUUUUCUCUAAUGACAGUAUCUUCCAAAAAAAAUCACAAGCAAAAAAUGGACAUUAAUAUAAUCUGGUAAUCUGAUUCCUGUUUUUUCCUAGUUAUUGGUACACUCUUAUAUGUGUAUGAGUUUAAUUCUAUGUAAUUUUAUUACGUGUAGGUUUGUGAAUCCAUGACCAUCAUAUUUGGGAUACAGAAUGUUUAGCACCACAAAGAUUCCUUAAAUGUUGUCCUUAUUUCUACCACCUUAUACUCCAUGCCUCUCCUUAACACUUAAAAACCAUAAAUCUCUCAUAUAUCUCUCUAAUUUUGUACUAUCAAAAAUGUUACAUUACCACCUCUGGUCCCACACCCAACAGCUGCCUAACAUGGUUUCUCAAGCCUGAACCCAGCUUACUUUGCCUUUGGUUGCUCUUGUCACAACCAUUCCGUUCCUUUGCUUCAAGGUGUGGGCCUUGAAAGGAACUACCUGCUCUGCCCCCUGACUGCUUCUGCCUCUACCUCAAUGUACCGAGACUGUUUGACAAGUUUGCUCUGGCUCAGGCUGAGAAAUUGACUCCACUCUUACCCUGACCCCUGGCAUGUCCACAUCUGGUCCUGUGUAGUCACCAACCCCAGGUGUGGUGAGUAACCUUUCCAUCCCAACUCCUCAGCCAUUGACUUCUGGUCUGGGGCUCCAUAGCCACUCCACUCUGGCCUCAACCCAAACUCUGUCAGAGAUAGCCUAGACCCCUUAACAUGGGUUCUACCACCUCAGAGGUCCCCGAAGCUAUAUAGACUACAAUCCAACUUUGGAAUUCUGACCUGGUGGGUUAAAAACCCAUACUAAAACACAGCUAACAAUGAUGCCCAGGUUACAGCACAAAAACUAGAUAAACUAAACCAAUAUCUAAUUGUUUUCCAAAUCACCAAUCUCAUAAUAAUGUUCCCUAAAGAGAACAAGUUACAAGAAAUUAAAGACACAGAAUUCCAAAGGAAAAUACAUGUUCAACAAGCUCAAAACAUCCAGAGAGGGCACAGAUAGCUACAUGAAUGAAAUUAAAGACAACAGGAAUAAAAUGAUGGGAGUCCAAGUAUACAAAAACACAGCUCAGCAAAACAUGGAACAGUAAGACUAUAAAUUCUCAUUCCAGCUAUCUAUAAUUUAGGAUCCUUUGUAGGGGAGUCAGUAGGUUGGUUGUGGGUCAUAGGUGGUGGUUGUGUCACUUUUACAUUGCUCUGUCGUUUUAUACAUUUGUUGAAGUGGAUUCCUUUUGACUUUCCUCUUCUUCUGAGCCUACUAUGAUAUUCUACUUGCUACCUAGAGGACCAUUUGGAUGAAGUUCAGCUUAGGAACUAGUGAAACCUAGUGAUGAUUAUUGAAUGGUUUGCUGAAAUCUCAUCUUGUCUAUGUGUCAACAAGACCAAAACCUUAGUCAUUCCUUAGAUUAUAUAAUCUAAUAAUAAGGAACAUGCUGGAAAUAGGAUAUUAAAUUUCAGACCCAGUAAAGUCUGUCUACUAGCUGGAGCUUAGAAAAUCUUAAUGAAAUGGAUAAUUUUCUAGAUACCACUUACCGAAGUUAAUAGUCCCAUAACCCCUAAAGAAAUAGAAGCAGUCAUUUAAACUCUUCCCUCCCCCCCCCCAAAAAAAAACAGGGACAGAUGGUUUUAGUAUAAAAUUCUACUAGACUUUCAAAGAAGAGCUAAUUAAUACUAAUUUUUUUAGUUGCAUUUUAAAAAUAAUGAUAAAGCUUAUUCUUUUAAGGUCUAUAAAGAAUAGGGGCUCACAGAGACUAAACUGCCCACUAGGGAGCCUGCAUGGGCCUAACCCAGGCUUUCUGUACCUUUCUGUACCUCCCUUAUGGUGUUCUUGUGGGUCUCCUAACAGUAGGAGCAAGGGCUGUCUCUGACUCUGUUGCCCAUCUUUGGGACCCUUUCCUCCUACUGAGUUGUCUUGUUUAGCCUUAAUAGGAGAUGCACCUAGUCUUACUGCAACCUGAUAUGCAAUGGCUGGUUGAUAUCCAUCAAGGCUGGCCAUUUUCUGAAGAGAAAUGGAGGAGGAGUUGAUGGGAGGAAGAGUGAGAUGAAGGAGAGGAGGGAGGGGAAACUGGAGUCAGGUUAUAAAAUAAAUAAACAAAAUGACUGGUUAGUUCAUAUUAAGCAACAAUUAAUUUUAAAAGAGC